UACUCUUCCCAAGAGAACCUUUGAUCUCGCGAGAAACAAAACGAGUCUUUUUUCUGGGCAAGGACAUAGCUCGUUUGCGCAGGCGUAAUUGGUCUCGUCUUCCCCUCAUUGCUCGUACGGUAGCAGGGUGGAAGAUGGUGGUCUGUGCAGGGAAGGAAAAGGCGAAUAGGGAACCCAUCGAAUUUAAGAUUGAAGUGAGCUUCCCCUUCCCAAUUGGAGUUAUGUAUCUCUCUUUGUCAAACAAACCAACACAGUCGAUUGUCAAGAUGCAAAGUUUCCGCACCAUAAGGUGGAAGCAUCCCUGAGAAGGUGAAGUCCUCAUUGGCCACGGUGUCCUCCUCUGAUUCACCUGCACAGAGUUUCACAGGGUGCAGAGCAUCUUAUUCUGGGCUUAAAAGGUGCCCCUUAGCAGUCCUUUCUACCUGUUGCACCAAGAGAUAGAAAGUGAUGUGGGAAGAAAGCAGACCAACUUAGAAUGAUGUGAUGCUGUCACUUCCUGCAUGAAGGUGGAUCCUCCUUGGGAUCAUGCCAGCCCUACAACCAUGAUACUGGAGGAUUAAAAAUAUAGGUGCUGAUUUUUAAACUGAGUGGUCUGGAGCGCAGAGCUGUUCUGAAGCGACUUGCCUGUGAUGUUGAACAAUAAAGCAAAAUAUCAGAAACUG